UCUGGAAACAGGUGCUAAUACCGCAUAACAACGAAAACCACANGGUUUCGUUUCAAAGAUGGUUUCGGCUAUCACUUCAGGAUGGGCCCGCGGUGCAUUAGCUAGUUGGUAAGGUAACGGCUUACCAAGGCAAUGAUGCAUAGCCGAGUUGAGAGACUGAUCGGCCACAAUGGAACUGAGACACGGUCCAUACUCCUACGGGAGGCAGCAGCG
rnacentral:rRNA from 1 species